GGCUGUUGCCAAUGGCAUUUCUGGUCAGACAGACAACAUGAAGUCAUAUAUACAGCACUUACCUGCCUGAAACGCUGAGUGCUCUGCUGUGCAUCCCAGCAGCGUCAGGGUUACCGGGUAGCCUGUAAUUGUAUAAAAUUUAGGUUUUCGUAGGAAAUGGAUAGGAAUGGGUAAUUGCUCACAGGAGGUGGUCAUAAUUGCCUUUGCUAACAUGUAAGGGCAUAAGCUGUUGCCUCUAGCCCCACUUUAAAAGGACAAAGCAAGGAGCAGUUGGCAGGAGGAAGAGGUGGAGCCUGCCAGAGGAAUUUCCCAUAAAGAAGAGGUGUUUGGUGUUUGACAGGGAUUUGUGCAUAUCCUGGAUGGGAAGAGGCCACACUUACUGUAGCUGCAUUGCUGCCUGACACUGCUGGCUGUAGGAAAGCCAAUGGAAGAAUUACAGAAACAGCAAGUAGAGUAUAGAAGGCCUUAAGAAGGAUCAGGAAAUUGGUGAGGAGCUAAAUCUUUCCUCAGCCUAAAGAACACUGUACAAGGCCGAGCCUCCACCUCCCCAGCCCUUUCUGGCUUACUACAGCUCUUGUCAUUUAAAGCACAGCCACACACCAAUUCUGCUGAUCCUAUGGGGCUGACCUUCCCUGCUAUAGAGGCAUCUCUUUGAUCAGCAUAUCUGCACCCUGAGAGACUCUGACUGCUGGUUUUCACUCUUGCUGGCAAGAGGAAGCCACUGUGGUUAGGGAAAAGCAAGGGUGAAUGCUUUGCAGCAAUAAAAUGUAAAACUUCAUUAGCAAUGGACAGAAGAAACAUGCCUAGAAGAUUCAAAGACAUGAUAUUCCUGCAGAGCACUCUCGUGGGGCCCAAGAUGGCUGUUGAUAGCCAAGAAUGCAUUACGCUGAAGCAUCACAGGUCCUGGAAAAUCCUAUCAAACUUUAUGGAAAAUGAUAACAUUCCUGCGAGCUUAAUGAACCGUUCCAAAGUUCUUAGGAGCGGUACACCCACUGCUGAAAUGUACGGGUGGUGCACGCAACCUUGCAGAAGAGAUAAAGCUCUCUGACAGUCCUGUGGUGGUAGUCUGGCCGAACCCUCUUUCAUCUCCAACAACCAUAUUCACUCCUAACAUGGUCCUGUAAAUGUUCUGAGCCUCUACAGAAACCACUGGCCUCAGCCCUAGCCUGCUCUGUAGGGCUUUUCUGAAAGGUUUAUGACUUUACUAAUAAAAUAGACCCCAGAUUAAC
rnacentral:lncRNA from 1 species